rnacentral:rRNA from 1 species
GACGAACGCUGGCGGCGUGCCUAAUACAUGCAAGUCGAACGAGAGCAACCGGUGCUUGCACUGGUCAAUCUAGUGGCGAACGGGUGAGUAACACGUGGGUAACCUGCCCAUCAGAGGGGGAUAACAUCCGGAAACGGAUGCUAAAACCGCAUAGGUCUUCGAACCGCAUGGUUUGAAGAGGAAAAGAGGCGCAAGCUUCUGCUGAUGGAUGGACCCGCGGUGCAUUAGCUAGUUGGUGAGGUAACGGCUCACCAAGGCCGUGAUGCAUAGCCGACCUGAGAGGGUGGUCGGCCACAUUGGGACUGAGACACGGCCCAAACUCCUACGGGAGGCAGCAGUAGGGAAUCUUCCGCAAUGGACGCAAGUCUGACGGAGCAACGCCGCGUGAGUGAAGAAGGUUUUCGGAUCGUAAAACUCUGUUGUUAGAGAAGAACAAGUGCUAGAGUAACUGUUAGCGCCUUGACGGUAGCUAAACAGAAAGCCACGGCUAACUACGUG